CCGCACGCGCGCUACACUGAUACGUGCAACAAGUUCUAUCCUGGGCCGGAAGGUCUCGGGUAAUCUUGAUAAUGCGUAUCGUGAUAGGGAUAGAUCUUUGGAAUUAUAGAUCUUGAACGAGGAAUUCCUAGUAAGCAUAAGUCAUCAGCUUGUGCUGAUUACGU
rnacentral:rRNA from 1 species